UGAGGAAUAUUGCGCAAUGGGGGAAACCCUGACGCAGCGACGCCGCGUGAGUGAGGAAGGUUUUCGGAUCGUAAAGCUCUGUCAGAAGGGAAGAAGUGUUAUAUGUUUAAUACGCAUA
rnacentral:rRNA from 1 species